CGCUGAUCCCCGGAUGUUCGCUACUAUAAAGCCUACUGGAGACACUUGUACGCUACCCCAUCUCCGGCAAAGCGCAAGAUAACGAUCAUCAACAAACCCUGGUUUGAAAGCUCCAAACACCUGCAGUGAGAAUGAGCACCAUUCAGCCACAAAUCAACGUUAUCUUGUACAGCAAUGCCGACCUUAAUGGCGACUGUGUACCAGUCCAGGGAGACAUAGCGGAUUUGAAAGGCUUUAAAAACCGGGCACAAUCAGCCAUUGUAAUCCAUGGAAAUUGGGAGCUGACAAGCAGUGCGGGAAACACUUAUGCUAUAACCGAGGGCACCGGAAAGUAUACAAACCUUGGUACUUUCAACCAAAUGGCCGUCUCCAUCAGGCGAACAUAAGGUACGUU